rnacentral:rRNA from 1 species
UGUUCUUAACCAGGUACUUAUGAACUGAAUACAUAGGUUUAUAAGAGCAAACCCGGGGAACUGAAACAUCUAAGUACCCGGAGGAAAGGAAAUCAAUUGAUACUCCCCUAGUAGCGGCGAGCGAACGGGGACCAGCCGAGCCUUGAGUGUGAGAAGAACAUGUUGGGAAGCAUGGCCAUAGCGGGUGAUAGCCCCGUAUUCGAAACAUGAUGGGACGUAUUAAGUAGGGCGGAACACGUGAAAUUCUGUCUGAAGAUCGGAGGACCACCUUCGAAGGCUAAGUACUCCUUACUGACCGAUAGUGAACCAGUACCGUGAGGGAAAGGUGAAAAGCACCCCGACGAGGGGAGUGAAACAGUACCUGAAACCGAACGCCUACAAUCAGUUGGAGGGCCCUUGCGGCCUGACAGCGUACCUUUUGUAUAAUGGGUCAUCGACUUGGUCUCACGAGCAAGCUUAAACCGUUAGGUGUAGGCGCAGCGAAAGCGAGUCUUAAUAGGGCGCAUGAGUUCGUGGGAUCAGACCCGAAACCGAGUGAUCUAGGCAUGGCCAGGUUGAAGGUGCAGUAACAUGCACUGGAGGACCGAACCCACAUCUGUUGAAAAAGAUCGGGAUGAGCUGUGCCUAGGGGUGAAAGGCCAAUCAAACUCGGAGAUAGCUGGUUCUCUGCGAAAUCUAUUUAGGUAGAGCGUCGUACGAAUACCCCGGGGGGUAGAGCACUGGAUGGGUAAUGGGGACUCACCGUCUUACUGAUCCUAACCAAACUCCGAAUACCCGGGAGUACUAUACGGCAGACACACUGCGGAUGCUAACGUCCGUAGUGGAGAGGGAA